rnacentral:pre_miRNA from 2 species
UGCCAUGAUAUUGUGUCAAUAUGCGAUGAUGUGUGUGAUGGCACAGCGUCAUCACAUGGUGACGCAACAUCAUGACGUA